rnacentral:ncRNA from 2 species
AAUUCGCAUCGAAAUUUUGGUUCGGCUAUGCCGAUUAAAAGGGAAUCAGGAAACGCUAAAAAAAACAUCGAAUUUUAGUUAAAACCUGAGCUGUUCCCGCAACUGUAAGCUUUGUUCUGUUUUAGGAAUGCUUGUAAAAAACUUCAAACCACUGUCUUUUUAGAUGGGAAGGUAAAUUGCAAGACGCUAGCCAGGAGACCUGCCAGAGAUUAUUAAAAACG